GCCCUUUCAUCGACACCGGUUCGCGCCUAUAUUCAAGGCGCCGGAGCAAUCCGGCUAUGGCGAUAAACGAACGUCGGAAUAAGCCAUUCGGACCCGGGGGCGGUACCCGGCGCCUCCACCACUCCAGGCCGCGCACGGCCGCCGGCUCCCGCAAGGGAGGGGCUUUGCGCACCCGGCACGGGGGCGAACUAGGAUCGACGAGGGUGUAAAGGACGAACUUUUGCCCGGCAUGAUACCGCCGUUAUCGGGUCACCAGAAUAGUUGCCAAUGACAACUAUGCUGAGGCUGCUGUCGCUGCGUAAUGCAGUGCCAAAGGCCUGAACUGAAGUCCUGACGUCUAGCCACGGCAGGCGGGGUUUGGGGGGCACCUGGCAACAGAAGCCCCUCGCU
rnacentral:tmRNA from 1 species